rnacentral:miRNA from 1 species
AUAAACAAUAAUAAAAGUGAUUGAGAGGGUGUCUAAUUGGGAUUUGUGUAUACUCCAGACAUCCUCUCAAUCACUUUUAUUAGUGUAUAU